rnacentral:rRNA from 1 species
CCCCUACGGGGCGCAGCAGUAGGGAAUUUUCGUCAAUGGGCGCAAGCCUGAACGAGCAAUGCCGCGUGAACGAGGAAGGUCUUCGGAUCGUAAAGUUCUGUUGAAGGGGAAAAAGAGCGGAGAGAGGAAAUGGUCUCCGAUUGAUAUUACCCUUCGAGGAAGUCACGGCUAACUACGUGCCAGCAGCCGCGGUAAUACGUAGGGUGCGAGCGUUAAUCGGAAUUACUGGGCGUAAAGGGUGUGCAGGCGGUUUUGCAAGAUGGUGGUGAAAGCCCCGG